GCGCCGAUAGCUCAGCUGGAUAGAGCGUUUGGCUACGAACCAAAAGGUCGGGAGUUCGAAUCUUCUUCGGCGUGCCA
rnacentral:tRNA from 1 species